rnacentral:pre_miRNA from 1 species
AAGGGGAGGAUCCUGGGCUGUGUCCUCCGGCGCCCUGGGCUUCGGGGCCUGUGCCACUGGAAUCACGCUCCCGGGGCCACGCAGCCCCCU